AAAGUCACGGUAAAAGUGAUGUGUUACAUCCACUGAAACCUUUUGAAUCUAGGUUCAUUGUUAUCAGGAAUAUGAGAUGAAAUGUGAAAUAGCGAGUAAAACUUAGAGGAGAGUAAAGAUCAUGGCUCCUUACAAGUGACCAAAAAAAGUAGGCAUCUUACCGUGCCAUGGUGUGUGAGAAUUAGACGGAUGAUAUCUUUUGACCUGCUCAUCCUCGUCUUGCUGCUGGCCUGUGGGAGAACGUUGAGACUUUGACAAGGGAGGUGACAUGUGGGGUUCCAGAUGAGGACGAGAUUGAUGAAGCUGGUAUGUUUUUAGUUGGAAUAACAAAGUUUCAGAUGGUGCAUUUGAAGAUGGCGACGAGGAGUUAAAAGAGCUAUCCAAGCAGACGAAAAGAAUAUCCACUGAAAUUGGACCGAGCAGCUUUGCUUCAAGGAAUAAGAUGAGUAAAAAGAGCACGACAUGAUCCGCCAAGUGGCUUAUCUGCAAUUUACGAGAUUAAAGACUUGAAGAAAGAACUGUGAUAAAGAUUAAUUCGUUCUAGCAAUUUUUGAAGUAUUUGCUUAGGUAUUAUUUCCUUUUGAAGGUUGUAUUUUUUCCUCUAGUAAUGUUAUUAGACCAAAACAUUUUGUUCAGUGUAAAUUAAUCAAGACCAAAACAUUUUUCCAUGAAUAUUGAAAUGAUUGAUGUUUUACCACCUGAGCUGGGUGAUGUGGUAAUGGCUUA